GCUGAGAUCUCGCCACUGCACUCCAUCCUGUGUGACAAAGCGAGAUUCCGUCUCAAAAAAAAAAAAAAAUUUCAUGCCUUUUGACCCAGUAACUUUUAUUGAGAAAUCUGUGAUUUUAAAACAAAAUCCAAUAUAUAGAAAGAUCUUUAGGUAUAAGGAUAUUAAUUACAAUAAUGAAAAAAACAUGCAAAAGAAGAGUGGCUAGGUCCUCUGUUUGGAAACAGCCUACAGCUGGUGAACAGUAAUCCCAUUCCUACAUCCAUAUCUUGGGGAACUCACACAGGGGACCAGAGAGAGAUGACCCAGGAUGUUCAUUGUGGCAGUGUCUGUAACAGAAACAAGCUAAAGGUCACGGACAGAAGAGAUAAAUUGUGGGAUAUUCCUCCCAUGAAUACUAUCCAGAACUGAAAACAAAGUAACUGUUUCUAUGGGUGUGGGUUCACCUCAUAAACCAUAUUAAAUGAUAAAGCAAGCCACAGAAUGAUACAUUCAACAAAAAACAAUUUAUACGAAGUCUAAAAUCAUGUAAAACAAAGGGAUUUUAAAAACUUUGUAACAAUAUAAAGGCAUUCACCAAAUUCAAGACAUCCGCCACUCCCCACUGGCAGUCCUUGCUUUACUCAGUACAGUAUCGACUGAAACACAUACAUAACAGAACUGUGGAAAAUCAGGGCUAUCUGCAUAUAUUUCUAUUAUUUUCUAUGUAUACUACAUAUAGCCAAUAAUAUUAAAAUGUUACAAAUUGACAAACCUGAGUGGUGGCUUCACAAAGAUUUCUUUUAAUUCUCUAUUCUUCCAGCUAGAACUACUUCAGCUAGAUCAAGUGGUGGCAGUGAUCUGCAAAAGUCAGAGGUCACAGUUACCAUGACAACCCCAACAGAGCAGGCAAGGUUGUGCUUGACCUGCAGGGAGUGUGGGGAAGGUUAACAGAGGGCAGUGUCCCAGGUUCAGAACAGAAGGACAGCCAGCAAGGGCGCUGCUUGAUAUCUAUGAAAAGAAAGCAAGAAUUGAGGAGCAGGAGGCUGAGGGUGUUUGAUCCAAGACAAAGUCAUAAUCUGUUCUCAAUGCCUAGACCUCACCUAACUUUCAGAUUCAGAUCCCAAUGACAGAGGAGGGGAGUCCAUAUCCCUAGGAGGAAGAACCCUGGAACACCCUGGGAGUAUAUGCU
rnacentral:lncRNA from 10 species